CCUAACACUUCCCUCUACCAUGGUGCCUCUGGGAACUUGGUGGCAGUUUUAGAUGCUUAGUUUUAGACUUUUGGAGUUACCUCUUUAUCAAAAGUGGGAUGGGGUAGAAUUUGGCUCCUGGUGCAGGUGAGGAGGCCUGCGGAUUUGACCAGGCAGGAAGCUCCAGACGAAGAGACCAUGAUGUUUCAUGCUUUGCACCCUUUGAGCAUCACUGGGAGGACAGGCAUUUAAAAGAUGAGAAAUCUGGGGCCUAAAGAGGUUGAAUGACUUGUCCAAGGUGAUACAGGCACUAAGUGGCAGAGACAAGAUUCAAAUCCACUGAACCCUGAUGAUCGAAGACCAAAGUGAAACAGUCCCUGCCCUCGAGGAGCUUACAUUCUACUGGGGGAGUUCUUGGAACCUAUUUUAGAUUAUAAGCUCCUGGAGGGAAGAGGCCACGUCUGCAUAUCUCGGUCUUCUAGCACACCUAUGUAAUGUUAAUUCAGCGGCACCUGACGCCUCGUUUGUGCUUCAUCGUCAAGGAAAAUGCUGCCGAGUCUUCCAUAUAACUGAAGCGGACAACUUAAUUCCAAAGCUUCUCUGUUCCUUUAAUCACUGUAGAGGAGGCAAUUUUCUGCUUUCUUAAACAAUAUGCAUUAAACAUAAUUUAAAUUCUCCUUGAGUGUUAAGGGUCAUACUUAUGGACAUCCAUCGUUGUACUGUACCCUCAUGCAAAGAUGAGCAUUCUCACGGACUGUUGCUAUGUAUCAAGCUGUUUGCCCUUACGUUGGAUGAUCCCAAGCUACUGUAGUUUGGGAGUCCAUUUCUUAGCCUUUUACGAUUGUCCUGUUUCCUCCUUUCCAGUGAACGUGUCACCUGUCCCUUCUUGUUAUUGUCAAUGUACCAAGUUCUAGCAUCUUCCCAAUUGCUGCUGAUUUGCUGACUCUCAACUAGUGUGACCUGGAAGACCGGAUCAUGUCAGAUCAUCAGUUUUGUCUAAAGCAAAAGUUUAAUAGGGUGCAAGUGAAUGCCAAGGAUGAUACUCUUUGAUGACUAUCAGAAUAAGCUUUUCCACAUCUGUUUUGGCUGCUCAGAAGUUUUUUGUUUUGUUUUUCUUUGCUUCUUUUCGAGCCUUUGGCUGUGUUCCAAAUAGUUGAGGUUGCUGAAAAAGUAACCUCUGGAUCUAUGAGGAGAUAACUAAGUAAAUAACAUUAUGCUAUCCUUGGUAUAUGGCAAUAAUGGUACUGUAAAAUCCUAGAACACUGACCUUAGAGGAGAUCUGGUUUUAAUAUUUACUUAUGAUGUUGGGCAUAAUCACUGAGCCUCAGUUUCCUCACCUGUAAAGUGGAGAUGGGAAUAUUUGCACUGUUCACCUCACAAACUUAUUGUAAGGCAAACACUUUUAUCUAAAAAAACAAACAAAAAUCCCUUCAGGUAUUAUAUGGAAAUGUGAGUUAUUGUUAUGUGCCCUGAGUUGUUUUUUUUCCCCUUUUCCAUCUGUUUUCUUUUCUCACAAUUCCCUUGUGGAUACAUAUUCAAGAUGGUUGGCUGUAAUUAAGGGUAUUACAGUUUGUGGCUAUGGAUCAGAUGAAAAUUAACUGGCUUAUUGGAGGGCCAAACUGAGUUCCCUGGCUUCAAUACAGUGCUCUUACCAAUUAAGUUAUUGUGUCUAGACAUGAGUGGCUUGAUUCACACCUAUCAACUACCUGGUCUAUCACUUAGCCCUCCUUGAUAUGGUAGGAGAGCUAACAAAGGGCCAAGCACACAGAAUACACGUUACCUUGGGAUCCUCCACAAAAGUGGUUCUGAAACUGAACAUCUAAAGAGUACUUGCUUCUGAGGGGUCUGGAGUAUAAUUAAAUUACACCUAGACCAGAAUAAUCCUGGAUUCUUGAGUUGCCUUCUUGGACCAGUCUUGAUUUACCUUAUGGUCACCAUUUUGGUUUCUACUCAGGCUCACCUUGAUUUUUGUUUAAGACUUGAAUGUGGGUGUUGAAGAAAGAGCAAUGGAUUUGGAGUCAGAGGACUUGGUUUUGACACCUGGUUCUGCCACUU